rnacentral:lncRNA from 1 species
GUUAUUCUUUUUGUUUUUUGUUUUUUUUUUUUUUAAAUAAAAAUGAAGUUAAAGUGAGUAAAUUAGAGUAACCGUUGAGGUCAAUCACGAAAUCUCUACCAAACAUAGAAAUGGGACACCGCAGACAAACAAGAGAAGUGGUUACUGAACCCUUAGCUGGAGUUUCAACAACCAUUUCCCCUUUCAUAUCAGAUAUAUCCAAACCCAACUUAUAAGCACAUUCAAUAGCAAUAAAACAGUGAGUAGCACCAGUAUCAAUAAUAGCAAUUAAAGGAGUACUAUUAAAGAAACAAGUACCUCUGAUAAGUCGGUCCUCAUUAGGAGUCUGCGUACCAGUCAAAGCAAACACCUUCCCACCAAUUCUAGUCUUCUUCGGCUCAGGACACUGCGAACUAAUAUGGCCUUCCCCAUUGCAGUUGUAACAGACAACGUCCCCACGCUUGCAUUCAGCUAAGUUGUGACCCUUCUGACCACACCUGAAGCACUUUCUAUCAUCUCUACCACAAACAUUACUCUUGUGGCCUUUCUCACCACACUUGUAGCAAACAAUCUCAACUGGAGCAUCUCUCCUCUUGGGCCUCCUAUCAUCACCCAUCCUCUGCUUUCCCUUGUCGGCAGGAGCACUGUAAGGCUUAGGACGAUUCUGUUGUCCCUUACC